AGAGUUUGAUCCUGGCUCAGGAUUAACGCUGGCGGCGUGCAUAACACAUUCAAGUCGAACGGAGAGAGGCAGCUUCGGUUGCGUCAAUCAGUGGCGGACGGGUGAGUAACGCGUGAGUAACCUGCCUGUAAGAGGGGGAUAACACCUGGAAACGGGUGCUAAUACCGCAUAAAUCAUAGUUGUCGCAUGGCAGCGAUGUAAAAGAGGAAUUGCUUACAGAUGGACUCGCGUCUGAUUAGA
rnacentral:rRNA from 1 species